rnacentral:rRNA from 1 species
AUUGAACGCUGGCGGCAGGCCUAACACAUGCAAGUCGAACGAGUGGCGGACGGGUGAGUAAUGUCUGGGAAACUGCCUGAUGGAGGGGGAUAACUACUGGAACCGGUAGCUAAUCCCGCAUACCAUCAGAUGUGCCCAGAUGGGAUUAGCUUGUUGGUGGGGUAACGGCUCACCAAGGCGACGAUCCCUAGCUGGUCUGAGAGGAUGACCAGCCACACUGGAACUGAGACACGGCCCAGACUCCUACGGGAGGCAGCAGUGGGGAAUAUUGCACAAUGGACGAAAGCCGGAUGCAGCCAUGCCGCGUGUAUGAAGAAGGUCUUCGGGUUGUAAAGUACUUUCAGCGGGGAGGCGGUACCCGCAGAGGAAGCACCGGCUAACUCCGUGCCAGCAGCCGCGGUAAUAC